UACGGGGGGAGCAAGCGUUGUUCGGAUUUACUGGGCGUAAAGGGCGCGUAGGCGGCGCAACAAGUCACUUGUGAAAUCUCCGGGCUUAACCCGGAGCGGCCAAGUGAUACUGUCGUGCUAGAGUGCGGAAGGGGCUACUGGAAUUCUCGGUGUAGCGGUGAAAUGCGUAGAUAUCGGGAGGAACACCAGUGGCGAAGGCGACUUCCUGGCCUGUUCUUGACGCUGAGGCGCGAAAGCUAGGGGAGCAAACGGG
rnacentral:rRNA from 1 species